CAAUGUGGUCAAAUAUACAUCUCAAAAGCUAAACAAGGUUAGGCCUGGUUAGUACUUGGAUGGGAGACCUCUGGGAAUUCCAGGUGCCACAGUAG
rnacentral:rRNA from 1 species